rnacentral:lncRNA from 1 species
UAGAGAAAUUAAGGAUUGUAUUAAUUGUAUUGAUGUAUUAAUGAAAAACAAUGUUAAGUACAUACUCCUUAUAUAGGAGGAGAAUUGUAGAAUCAUAAUUAACUAUACUUCGAGUCCUACUACAAUACCUAUUAUUACUAUAAUAAUAAUAAUAAUAAUGCAAUUAUAAAUAAUCUAAAUCCUAGUUGUACUAUAAUUCUGAUAGUAAUCUAAUCCUAGUCGUAAUAUAAUUCUAAUCCUAAUAUAAGUAGUCUAAUCUUAGUGCGACUCUAACUCUACAGUAGUGUUGUAAAUUCGUCAGUCAGAUUUGUUGGACAUGUUCCAAUCAUCAGCUUCCUUUCUUCAUCAACACUUGCUGCAGAAACAUCAGUCAGAUGCAUUGGACAUGUUCCUUUGAUAUGUUCUAAUCGUCAACUUCCUUCUUUUUCAACACUUCCCUUCAAGCUAGUGAGUAGAUGAACGGUUACUCCUAGCUUGUUUGCUUUGAAUAUCCAGCACAAAAAAAACUUUGAAUACCCAGCAAAACUUGUUUUGUCAAUGCUUCGAUAUAUUGAUGAUGUUGUUUUUGAAUAUCCAGCAAAAAAAACUUUGAAUAUCCAACAAAAACUUGUUCUGUCAAUGGUUUGGUAUGUUAUUGUUGUUGUUUCCUCUUCCCCAGCCUUUUUGGGCAGAUACUACCAUGUAAUGGUUUUGUUGUGAUACUUUUUCUUCCUCUUCCCUUAUAUCAAAGCCUGUAAGAGCAUUAACAAAUUAAUUAAGGGUGGGAUAUGGUGACUUACCUACACCUCUAGCAAAAUUAAUCGCUUUUGUUACUUGAAGAUAAGUUUCUUCCAAGCAUUCCCACAUCUCCUUGGCAGUUGAGCAUCAGUUAAGGUGCUUGAGAUUCAACUUCUUAAAAACACAUCUUUCUCUUUCCAAUCAUCAAUAGUGUCACUAUCUUUUACAUCCUUCUUAGCAGCUACAACUUUCCAAUAGUUUGUACAGUGGAACAACAACUUUUACUUGGUUCACUCUCUGUGAUAUGAAUCAAUUGGGAUAUAUGUGUCCUCUUUAUGAGGUAGUAAGUUUAGUGGAGCAAGCGACAAUUAUUUGGUGAAGUGAGGAGGUUGACAUGGUUUUGGUAGAAGGGGUCAUUGCAACAUGUGAUUUUUUUUAAUCAAUACUCUGAGAACGGAAAGCUUUUAAGCUCUGAUACCAUGUAGAAAUAUCACAUUUAGGAUUAGAGAAAUCAAGGAAUAUAUUGAUUGUAUUGAGGAAAAAUAAUGUUAAGUACAUACUCCUUAUAUAGGAGAGAAUUGUAGAGUCAUAAGUUAACAGUACUUAGGUUCCUACUAAAAUACCUAUUAUUACUAUAAUAAUAAUAAAUCUAAACUCUAGUUGUACUAUAAUUCUGAUAGUAAUUUAAUCCUAGUCGUAAUAUAAUUCUAAUCCUAAUAUAAGUAGUCUAAUUCUAGUGCAACUUUAACUCUACAACAGUGUUAUAAACUCGUCAGUCAGCUUCGUUGGACCUGUUUUUUUGAUAUGUUCCAAUCGUCAACAUCCUUUCUUCAUCAACAACUAAACUUCUUCAUCAACAACUAAACUUCCUUCUGCUUCAAUAGGAGCAUCUCCAGCCUAAAAUAGAAUAUCAUUAACCCUUUUCAUAUUUAUUUUUUCUUAUGUAUCUCUAUUUAUUUAUUAUUUUUGGAUCAUGAGGAUUUCUAACAUUAUAUUAGAAUUUUAAAAAAGAACUUCUUUUUCAUAUUUAUAAAUUUUGUUUUCGAAAUAGUUUCAAGAUUUAUAAUCUAUCAACAAAGCUUUUGGGAAGCUUAAAGUUUGCUUUUAAAUUGUUUAAUUUAGAAAGUUGAGAUAAGCCCAACGGAAUUCAUAAAAAUCUCACUCAAUUUAACCCAAGAACAACAUUCAUUCGCAAAAUCCUGAUUAUAACAAUCCAAUAUGACACCAUUGAUUAAAAAAAAUGAAGUAAAAUCUUAAGAAUUCAUCAAGAACCUAUACAAAUUAUUUCAUGGAUGAUUUACGGAAAGAAAUACAUAUUUGGUGUGAAGAUGAACAUAUCCAUCAAUAUGAGAAACCUCACAUACCUUGAAAGAACCACGUUGUUGACAAUUUCCCCAAAAACCUUGAAGAACUUCUUGACCCCUUUUCCUUUUGAGCUUUCCCUAACUUGCUUAAACAUUUUUUUUUGAG